rnacentral:rRNA from 1 species
GCGAACGCUGGCGGCAGGCCUAACACCUGCAAGUCGCACGAACUCUUCGGAGUUAGUGGCGGACGGGUGAGUAACACGUGGGAACGUGCCUUUAGGUUCGGAAUAACUCAGGGAAACUUGUGCUAAUACCGAAUGUGCCCUUCGGGGGAAAGAUUUAUCGCCUUUAGAGCGGCCCGCGUCUGAUUAGCUAGUUGGUGAGGUAAAGGCUCACCAAGGCGACGAUCAGUAGCUGGUCUGAGAGGAUGAUCGGCCACAUUGGGACUGAGACACGGCCCAAACUCCUACGGGAAGCAGCAGUGGGGAAUCUUGCGCAAUGGGCGAAAGCCUGACGCAGCCAUGCCGCGUGAAUGAUGAAGGUCUUAGGAUUGUAAAAUUCUUUCACCGGGGACGAUAAUGACGGUACCCGGAGAAGAAGCCCCGGCUAACUUCGUG